rnacentral:lncRNA from 1 species
CACUGCGCCCAAUCAAUGCUUUCCAUUUUAUCUUGGCUGCUAAGUAACUCAGAAGUAACUUUAAAUCUCAACCUUAGUAACCAUGUAGGAGCUGGAUAAUUAUUCACUACUUUUAAGCACUCAAGUCUUCCUUCACCUGUAUGAUAAGAACCAAACUUCUCUGUAAAUUAUGCAUGUCUUUUUAUGAUCUGGCUCCUGCUCCCUCAUCAGCUUCAUAUCCUAUUCACUCUAGUUUAUACUCCCUGUUACAAUAAAAUGGAAUUUCUUGUAGCUCCCUGAACUAGCUAUGAUAUUCCAAAAUCCUAUGUAUUUCCGAAUGCCACUUUUUCUUUCUAAUUAUGAUGUCUUCCCUUCCAGAUGACAUCAUAAUUAGUCCUUUCUAAGCCUAAUUAAAACAUCUGCUCUGGACAAAAUCCUUUGUUGACUUCCUUCCACCAGCCCUGGGAAGAAUCUAUCAUCCCCUUUCCUCUAACACCCCUAACCCCUUUCCUCUAACACCAAAUGUGGUGUUCCAUCACCACAUUUAUAGAAAAAUAUAUAUUACAAUUAUUGGUUUCUAUGUCUGUUUCCAGUUCUCCUCAACUUGCUCCUCAAGACAUUUUGGAUCCAAGGACCAAUAGGUUGACUCAUUCACUAGUGGAGAGUAUCAAAGAAAGAAAAAUUUAAAAACUAAACAACAGAUUUGACAAGCUGCCUGCCAUCUGAAAGUGAGAAAGAAUGUGAUAUUAAUUGAGCAUCUUCUGAGCAAGCUAUAUGCUGUACAUAUGCUUUUCUUCAAAACAUCCCUUCAAGAAAAUGGAAACCCAAAUCUGUGCCACAUUCCUCUGCAAAGAGUGUCCAAAUGAGGGAGAGAAGAGGUAUGCUUAAUAAAUUAUAAGGUUUUAUGUCAGCAACACCACAAAAAAUUACCUACAACUGUAUUAUGAGCUACAAAGAACAAAUUCAUAAAUCUAAUGGAUAGAUCUUAUAUUUAAGGAAACAGAUUAUUCCAACGUGAAUAACUUUGAAGAGAGUUAAACUGAAUUUGUCAUAAUUCAUUUUCCAGUUUAAUUGCACAUUAUACAUUAAUAUUUACCCUCUUUGGCUCAGA